rnacentral:rRNA from 1 species
UGGGGAAUAUUGCGCAAUGGGCGAAAGCCUGACGCAGCGACGCCGCGUGUGGGAUGAAGGUCUUCGGAUUGUAAACCACUGUCGGGAGGGACGAAUGCGCCGCAAGGCGAGUGACGGUACCUCCAAAGGAAGCACCGGCUAACUCUGUGCCAGCAGCCGCGGUAAUACAGAGGGUGCGAGCGUUGUCCGGAAUCACUGGGCGUAAAGGGCGCGUAGGCGGCCUGAUAAGUAGGGGGUGAAAUCUUGCGGCUCAACUGCAAGGCUGCCUCCUAAACUGUCAGGCUUGAGCACAGUAGAGGCAGGUGGAAUUCCCGGUGUAGCGGUGGAAUGCGUAGAGAUCGGGAAGAACAUCGGUGGCGAAGGCGGCCUGCUGGGCUGUUGCUGACGCUGAGGCGCGACAGCGUGGGGAGCAAACAGGAUUAGAUACCCUGGUAGUCCACGCCGUAAACGAUGGGUACUAGGCGUC